GAUGAGAGUAGCAGUGGAGAAUUCUCUGGAGGUGCUGGGAUUCUUGCAUCUUUUAGCUGCCUAUAGAUUGGCACCUGCUUUUGAUGGUGAAGAACUUGAAAGUCUUCUUCGUAUUGUUGCUCAGCAUAGACAGACUCCUAAAUUACGCCAAACCCUUGGAUUUGCGGAUAAAGAACCCGGUAGGCUCUUUGUUACUGGGAUUUAAAUUUAUCAGGUGCUAUCUGUGCUCUCAAUUACAUAAUAAAACUGAUUUUAUAUUUUAUGAGAGUCCUAUUUGCAUUUUGUUGGAUAUGUUGUAUAUUACUAUAGUUGAUUUCGGUAUAAAUCGUUUGUAAGAACUUGUGGAUGCAAUUCCAUUUUGCUGCUAUGCCCUCUAGUAAGUUUUUCUAAUUUUGAAGUUCAUAAAUUCUGCAUACUUUCUAAAGUCUUUACUAGGCUAUAGGAUUUAUAUAUUUUGAAUUAGAAAGGCUGUGUAAUCAGAACAAUUUUUCCGUCAACUAUGCACUUGAUUCUCUGUCUGCAGGUCUCCAGUGCAGCACCACAGCAGAAGGAAGGAGUGCACCGUCAAUGCUUGUUGGCACCUCUGCCCCCACGAAUCAGCCAGACUCUAGCCUAAUGAAUCUACCACAGUACAGCGGAAUGGAUCCCAGUAAUAGUACUUCCUCCCCAGUAUCACAGUUUAGUGGAGCGCAACCACAGCUUGAGAAUCAGUAUAAACGUCUUCGGGUAGAAUCACUGUCUACCAUAGACUAUACACCACAUGCACUAGCUUCUGAUAACCUGAAUAGGAGUUCUCUGGCUACACAGCAUGGACCAGGUGUGGAUCGCAUUGGAGGGCAAACACAGUUUGGUCUUUUAGCAGGUAAUCAUUCAAGAGUCACAGCAAAUAUUGCUACCAAAUGUUGCAGGAAUGCAAAACCUUGUCAUUUUCAGCAUAUGCACUACUUGAUGAAGUGAUGGUUACUCUCUGUACACAGUAGAUGCUAAUUAACAUGGGCUUGUAAAUAUAGUAAGCCUAGGAUUUUUAUCUUUCCAUCAACGUGAGUCCAAUUUCACAUGAUUUCAGAGCUCAGUAAAAACUAAAAUUUUAUCCUUUUUUAUUUCAUUUCGCAAACAGAGCUGAUGGUGAAUCAUCAAAUAGCAAGCAGGAGAAUGAUCGGAGUUUUCUCCUAUUGAGUUGUUUCUUUAAUAAACACACUAAACAUGUGCUAUAUACUGUGAAGGGAAUGUGGGGAUAAAGCAGUACAGAGGAGUGAGGCAAAGGCACUGGGGCAAAUGGGUAGCUGAGAUUCGUGAUCCAACGAAGGCUCGUGUAUGGCUAGGAACUUUUGACACAGCUGAAGCAGCAGCACUUGCUUACGAUGAAGCAGCUCUUAGGUUCUACGGAUGCAAUGCCAAGCUUAACUUCCCAGAAAGGGUUCAAGCUAAUCUCACAACUCACCAUCAUUAAGAUCUUUUUUAUCAUGCUGCGGCCGCUACAACUUCACAGCAAGUUUCUAAUCCUCAUCUCUGCCACUAACUCAAGAAGUAAUGUAUCCGAAUCUUCUUCAGUAUCAGCAACCAAACUAUGGCAUCCCAUCUGGUUUGUACGGCGAGUAUAGGUAUCCACCGGUGACCUUACCGACCACUUCUUCAUCUUCAUCUUCGUCUUCGUCUUCGUCUUCUGUGACGUCAUCUCAGCAACCACAACAGCAUGAGUUCUUAAGAUAUCCCACGCUGCUUGGAAGCUCUUCAUCAUCAGCUUCUGAUCCUCAUAAAGAGUAGAAGGCAAAAUUUUGAUACAAGUCACCCAAGAGAUUAGAAAUAUAAAUAUCGUUUGCUAUGCUUUACUAAACUUAUGUUUUGCUUUUUAGUUAUUUGCUUAUAGUUUUUCUUUAAGUUUUUGGAGACCAAGAGUGUGCGGUUAUAUAUUCUAAUGACAUCUCUUCGUACUUGAAAGAAAUUAAAAAAAAAGGGAGAAUGAUCCUUUCCUGGUGCAUCCAUCAGGUAGUCCAACAAUUGUUUUGGUUUCUCCUGUACUCACUGGUAAUAAUUGUGGUUUGUGGGUAAGAGUGAUGACGAUGGCUUUGUGAGUGAGGAACAAGCUAGGUUUUGUUGAUGGGACCAUUACAAAACCGGAUGAUGAUGAUGGUGGUAAAUGGCAAUGUUGCAACGAUCUGGUUUGUUCUUGGGAGUUGAAUUCCAUCUCAAGCAAGACUCGCAUGUAGUGUCUUGUAUGCACAGUCAGCAAGAGAGUUAUGGCUGGAUUUGCAGGAAUGGUUUCAGCAGACUAACGCGGGGAAAGAACAACAGGAUCUUAUUUUUGCUCAAUAGCAGUAUCAAAAUGUCCUAGCCACAUUGUACUUAGGUAAUUUACAAUUUGCGAGUUUUGUAGGUGUAGCCCUUCGUUGUUGUUAUUAUUAUUAUUAUUAGGGGUCAGCUUACGUUACAUUUUAUGUAAGAAACAUUACUGACAUGACUAUUUCAUUGCUGUAAGUGUAACACGUGUCAAUUUGGGGAGUAAUAAAAAGUUGUUGCAACCGGAUGAAAACAAGUUGCAAAAUGAGUCAAAGGUAAAGUCACCCUAAGCGUUUACCAUUUGAGCCGGUUGAAGGUAAGGCGGUAAUCACUUAAAAUUAUGAAAAGAAAGGAAAAAUUGGAAAGAGAAAAAAUGUACGAGGCUUUUGAAAAAGGAUUAUUGAAGAAGGAACAGCUCACUGCUGCAAGUAAAUAUUCGAAAAUUUCAUAUAUGAUUGUAUUGAACAAAGGCUGAAAAUCGAGGGGGAAAAAAAUGGUUUCAGUGUUGUGUCCAUUACUAGUACAUGGAGAAAUGACGGGGAGCUGCAGUUUCACGGGUAAGAGAGUGUUUGAAAAAUUAAUAAUAUAUUUCGUUAUUUUUUUUCGUAGGAAUAAUUAACUUGUAAUAUCAGAGAUUGGUUUCGCAAUUAUAAGUAUAAUUAAUUUAUCCUGCUUGAAAGUCUUGAAUGGACCAUAUUCAUCAAGUGUUCGAUGAAAUGUCUGAAUAGCGUUAGGCCGGAAAUAUUUUGCUAAAAUUGAUUAAUAUAUUUGGUUAAUAUGAUGAAUAUAUGUGAGGUUUGUAAGCUGGUGAUUGAUUCUUCUGCUUAGUAUUUGUAGUUUGGUUUAUUUUAUGAAUAUAAAUGAGGAUUGUAUGCCGCUUCUAGCUUCUGCUGCUGUGCAUCUGUACUUUGGUUUGUUUAGUAUCUCUGUUUUGAUAUGUUAUUCAGAGCCAACAAGGGCAUAUAUUUGGUUAAUAUGAUGAAUAUAUGUGAGGUUUGUAUGCUGGUGAUUGAUUAUUCUGCUGCUGCUGGAUUAUUCUGCUGAGUAUUUGUAGUUUGGUUUAUUUAUUAAUAUAAAUGAGGGUUGUAUGCCGCUGCUAGCUUCUGCUGUUGUGCAUGUGUACUUUGGUUUGUUUAGUAUCAAUGAUUUGAGUUGUUUUUCAGAGCCACCAUGAAUCAUGUUACGUUGAAGUUCUCUGAGAAUGAAGGAAAGAAGCUAAAAUAUCUUCUUAAUUUCAUUUUUCCAUAACAAUAUUUUCUCUUAUUUGGUGUUCUGUAGAAUUAAUAAUUUUAUCCUUUCCUUUUGUUCUGUUCUCACUGUUUUGGUAGAGUAUGAUGAAUAUAUAGUAGUUAUAUACAAAAUAUUAUAUUCUGUACAAUUUUUUCCUUUUAUUCGCUAUGCCAUUCUUUGUAAAUGUAUUUGUGCAGUUCGUACAAUUCAAUGCAAUGCCUGAAAUAUCUGUAAAUCAAAACUAGAAUAUAUAAAUCAGUUCACAAAUUGAAACCUUGAUGUCCUUGCUAAAUUAAGGGAAAAGUUUAAAUUUUGACUAUGUUAUUAGCAUGUACAUAAAUGGAGCUUUAGAAUAUUUUGUUUAUUUAGAUUAGGGAUGCCACAAAUUGAAGCAAGAGUGGGUGCAGUGCUGACAGAGCGCCAAAAAUCUUUCGAUACAUUAGUCAGUUAUGCUCCGAAGUUACAUGAUCCAUCACCAUUUAUGACACCUAAGAAUGAAAGAAGAGGUGCAUCUUAGAACAAAUGCAGAAUUGGAGAAGGUGAGAAAAAAACUCCAACAAUGACGUUGGCCAUUGCAUAUUUCCUGAAAAUUUUUUGUUAUUAUCUUGGUUGAUAUGUAAUUUGACGGAACUUUUGGUUAAUGUCAAAUGUAGAUGUGUCAGUGCAAAAAUUAGGAAGUUUGUGGGUUGCGUCCCAAGAGGCAAAGUUGGCAACUAUUUUUUGAAAGAAAAAAAAAAUUGCAGAACUGGAUGCACAGAAUGGAAGAAGGCAGCAUGGGAAAUGAUGUUUUUACGUUUAUGUGUGUAUAUUGUAGAACUUGUAUAUGUAUAUAAAGCUUUGUUAUGCAUGUUUUACCCGAUAUGUAAAUAAAACAUGGAGCUUCUUAUGUUAUGUAUUUUAAUUUAAGGAAUUUUUUUGGUCAAUUAGAAUUGUUAUAAAACUAUAAAUGUAUGUGUAACUAGAAAUUUAUCAACAAAAUAUAUAUAUUGUAAUAGUUUGUAGGUGCGAUUUGAUUGAAUUAGGGAUUAGAUGCUUUAAUAAUUAUUUCAAAUGUUACAUAAGUACGAAAUGCGAAAAUAAGACUUAAAAAUAUUAUACUUCCUUUAAUAUCUUCUUGGACUACAGUGUGUAAUUCGUAAUUUAAUUUUAAAAACUGUGACAAAUGUAAAAAUGAGGACACUUGGCUACAUCCAAAUAUUAGUAACUCUGUUGUAUACAGAUUUCAAAUUUAUGGCUACCCGAAAAUUAUUUGGCCCCGAUUAACUUCAUUAAGCUAUAAAAAAUUCCUUUGCAAAGACAUUAAUGAUGUGUCAAAUAAUUGAAAAUAUACAUUAUGAGGGAACAUAUGAGUUAAGUUUAUCAGUAAAUGUGCAGCAUAACAUCAAUAGGAUUGUGCAUCAUGCAACUGGAAAUGGAGUAACGGGUUAAAAAAAAUAACAUUAACUACAUGAAAAAUACCACUGAAAUAUCAAAUAUAUCUUAUCAAUCUUCAUUCAAUUGCAUUUCAUAAUAUCAAUUAAAUUUCCCAAUUACGUUACAAACUUAUAAUAUGUUACAUGUUCUCUUAUACCCAUUAACCUAACAAUUAAACUUGAAAUUCAAACACUGCAAUCAAAUCGAUUAACAUUAACCUCCAAUGCAUUGUUUAAAACGAAUAUCAGAAUCUUACUUACAAGUACGAAAUGAAACCGUAAUUGUUUUGCUCGUUUUUCUUAUCUUCUGCACUAUUUUCAGCCUCUGCCUUCUUCUCUUCACGACAAAAGACAACUUCAUCUAACUCUGGUUCACCUGUUAAUAGUUUGAUGCAAUUUUGACGGAUACCUUCUUCCCUUUGCUCUGUCAUGCUUUUAGCAGGAUCAAUUCUGGGAUUUGUCCAAAUCACCAUGUUCCAAUAAUCACGACCCACCCAUAACAAGAAAUGAUGUUACAAAAAUUAUAUGGUGAAGACAACUUCACAAGAUGAUGCUUCACAUUUUACCAAAUUCUGCCACAUUCCAGCGCCUGUAGCUUCGAUUUUAUGGGGCUGCAAUUUUUUUGGUUUCCCUAAUUUGUGAUAUGAAAUAAUGAAAGACGAUUUUGGUUAUCUCGUUUGCUGCUUCUAAUGCUUUCCUCUUUCAAAACCUAGAUACUGUACUUGCUUUCUUCAAUAUUCUGGCUUCUUUCUUCAAUUUUCGGGCUUUUCCAGCGACACUCAUCACUUCCAUCUCAAAUUUUCUUUACCGACUAACCCAUUUGCUUCCUUUUUUCAACAACCAUUUUAGCAGGUAGCCAUUCUUUUGUUUUUUAAAAUGAAUAUCCAACCACUACCUGAACCUUGUUUUACGUUAUGUUUCACCACACCCGUUGGAUCUACAAAUUAAAGAAUCCAACGGUUCAUGUUCUGGUAUUGUUACUUACAUCAAAUGUAAGUUAAGCGCUGCCUAUUAUUAGUAUUAUUAUUUUCCAUGCAGAUGUUACUGAUCAUAUAUGUUGUUUGUUACAUUUCUUUCAUUCUUAGGAACCAUGGGGAAAAUAUACUCUUUAAAAGCAUAUGUGUUUAUUUAAUUGUAAUAAAUAAUUUUUUUGAUAAAUAAAAUAAAUGAGGUAUUUUAUUCAAGUAUCUUAAUUGUAUUAAUAUUUUGAAUAAAAUUCAUUUAAUUAUAUUAUAUGUAGUUAUGUGAUCACCAUAUGGAUUUACAGAAGACAUAAAUACAAGUUAUCUUAUGAUUAAAUAAAUUAAGUUCGCAGUUGAUAAAUAAAGUUGGGCACUUUAUUUAGGUAUAGACUGUAAUAAAUUUAUUGAAUGAUUUGUCUUAAUCAUGUAUGAAUUUAUUGAUGUAGUGCUACUACAUUAAACAUGAUCACAUAUAAGAUUUAAUUAACUUUGUAAUAACUGUCAAGCUUAUUAAAUCUCAUAGGCAUUUAUUUUACUAUAAUCUUAAUCUUGAGUUAGUUAUAAUUUCAUGAUUGUAAUUGUUAUUCCACUUGAAUUACAAAUGGGCACAACACACACUUGUAGUCAAGAUUACCCGGUAUCUUGGUGGGAGCAAUUAUGAGUAUUAGAGUUAUAGAUUAACAAUAUAGAAUUUGUACAACACAUCUCUUGAUGGGUUUUCGGCACUUGAUCAUAGAAUUAUCUAGCCAGAGUGUGUCAACAUAUUUAGUAUGUUGAAAAUGAUCAUUAGAGAAAACCAGUAAGUAUCAAGGAACAAGAUGUAAUUAAAUCGAUUGAACAGUUGAGAUAUCAAUUUAAUUAACGAUGUGGUACAAAAGAUUAUGCAGUAAAGAAAUCAAUGUGGCUUGGGAUGAAUUAUUAUUCGAGCAUACAAUUAUGGAGGUCAGUUCCAAUCUUUUAGUGAAGUGGAUUUGGAAUUAAAUAAUUGGGCUAGUUUAAUUACAUGCCUAAUUAUUGUAAUCACUAUUGUAUGUUCCCAAAUGAUCUCCGGGUUAGCUCAUUUAAUUGACUGCACCACUACUAGAUUAAUAAGCAAGAUAAUUAAUUAUUUGGGUCAAAAGCCUAAAUAUAUCAUUUAGUGGGAGGAUCUAUUAUAUAUGCUUGUGUGUAAGGGGUCUUAUAUUAUUUUACAAGGUGGGCCCCCUAUAGAAAAAGCAAGUAAAGUGACUUUUGAUUUUUAUUAUUUGGAGCCUAGGUUUUCACUAAAGGAAGAUAUAAAAAGACUUAUUUUUUCUAAAGAAAAAAUAGGAGCCGCAUUAUACAGUUCAGAGAAAAAAAAUUUUUCUUUCUAAUUUUGAGAGAAAAGUUUUUCUCUUGCUAGUUGUUUUUAGUGGUGAUAAAGGCGCCCACACGUCAAGUGCAUAUUAAAUCUGAGUCAUAACUUGAAAGAUUAUUUGGUGGCGGAUUGUGAUCUAACAUGAGUGGUGGUGACGACUCGUGAUCUAACAGGAAUGGUGGUGAUAGAUCGUGAUCUGGGAGCCUAAAUCACUUCAGUGGAAAAAGCAAAGAUUGUUCAUAUUCUUAGAUUUUCAAGGUACGAUUUCUAAAUUAUGAAUUCUUAUAUAUUGUAUAAGAUUGAUCCUAAUAAGUUUUUAUUUAGCAAAAUUUAAAAACUAUUUUUUCUCCAACACCAUGUUCUGUACUUCUUCGUGGUCAAUGGCCUGAUUCUAUUGUAUCCCUUGUCACUCGUAUGGAAACGACCUCUUUUUUUCAAGAAUUUCUACUGAAAAAAGUCUUUAUCAUUCCGAGUUUUAAAUUCAAUUUACUGUCAGUUAGCCAAUUAACCAAACCAAACAAACAUCAAAUAAUCUUUUCUUUUGAUUACUGUUAAUCUUUGGACCUAUACAUGAAGGUUGGCAAUGGUAGGCAUCAUGUUCCUGCGGCAUCCUUUUUUCAUUCCCAAAUAACUUCAAUGUGGAUUUCAUCUUUGGCGUUGUUGCAGACUUGGGUUGGGCACCCUUCUCUUGUACGUUUAAAAUUGUUUUCAAAGACUUAUCCUAUGGUUAAUUUGGGAUGUUUGUCUUAAAUUAAAACAAACUAGAACGUCUAUUUUUUAUUAGAAGUAUUAAAACUGCUUUUGAAUUAAUCCAUUGUGAAGUUUGGGGUUCGUUUUCUACCGUAUAAGUUCUUUAGUUACGUUUUUUUUUAAUAAUUGUUGGUGAUUUUACUUGCCGCACUAAACGCCCGUUUAGAAUUGCUUUUGAUAGCCUUAACAGUAAUUUCAAAAAGUUAAAAGUCAAAUUUGGUGUUUGGUAAUUUUUUUUAGAAAUUACUUUUAGCAAAAUCACAUUAUCCUACAAUAGAUUUGAAAAAGGAAAGAAAGAAUAUCUCUUCAAAAUCUGAUUUUAAAAAUUAUUUUUAUAUUUAAUCCAAUUCUAUAUAUAUGCUCAUAUAUAUAUUAUAAAAAUUCAAAAUUAUCAUUAUUAAGUAGGAAAAAAAUCAUUAAAAUUAUUAUUAUUAUUAUUAUCAAUUAUAUUGAUAUAACAAAAAAAUGAAAUUAAUAAUAUAAAAUAUUUAUUUUAGUUAUCACAUGUUACACAUACACAAUUAGAAAUAUUUUAUAUUCAUGUUUAUUAAUAUGUAAAUAAAUUUUAUUCAAUAUUAUAUACAAUUAAGUCAUUUAUAUUCUUAUAACAGUUUAAUAAUAAAAUUUACCAAACACAUACGAUUGCUUUUAAAAUUCACAACAAUUUUAAAAAUAAAUUUUACCAAACGUUUAACUAAUUCUCUUCACAGCUGAUUAUAUCUAAAGCACAACUAAUAACAAUUUGAAAUGCUAGUUAUGCAACCCAAGAGGCAGGGUGAAUUGAGUUUUUAAAAUUUAAGCUAAACAAACCACACAACAAUUCAAUCUAUUACCUUAAUAAUAAAAAAAUAAUAAAUUUAAUAGAGCACAAUAAUAAAAGAGUAAUGGAAGAGAGAGCAAAUACAAUGAUUUUUAAGUGAUUCGGCCAAUAGUGCCUACGUCCACGCCUCCAAGCUCACCGGACUUGAGGGUUUCACUAAGCAAGCAUCCAAGGCUUUAACCACUCUCACAAUUGACUUAUAAGGUGUUAAUAAACCUUUACAACAAGAGAUUAUUCUCAAUCUCUUAACCCCAAUAUAUCCCAACACUACAAUCACUCAAAGAUAAAGAUUACAAAUGAAAUUUUCUUUGACACAAUGUGUUUGAUUACAAAUGAUAGCUCAAAUGUGUGAAUGAAAUGAAAUAAAAUCAAGUUUGAAGCUCAAUAAUAGUUGUGUACUCGAUAGCAAGAUCAAAUGAUAAUCGUUGGAUUACUUUUUGUUUGAAUUUGAUUGAGCCAUUUUAUAGAUGGAGUUGAAAAUUAGCCGUUGUUGACUUUCUACAUGCAAUCAGAUCACCGUUUAGCAUUUAUUGGAUCGUCGUUUUGACUUGAGCAAGUGACCGUUGUGCCAAAAUUCAAAUUUUUGGAUCACCAUUAUCAAGAUAUCGGAUUACCGUUAUCGCUUUCGAAUCUUGUCCAAAGAUAUCGGUUAUCCGUUUGACAUAAACGGUUUACCAUUUGCAAGAUGAUUACUCUCUGGUAUCGGUUUACCGUUAACGAUAAAUGGUUUACCAUUAUCUGAAAUUUGCUCUCUGAAAUGCAGCCAGUUCACCAUCAUUCCUAAACGGUUUGCCAUUAUCUGAAAUUUGCUCUCUGGAAUACAAUCGGUUCACCGUUAUCCCUAAACGGUUUGCCGAUAUCUUGAAACUUACUCUCUAGAAUGCAAUCGUUUUGCUAUUUUCUAAUAAAUGGUUCACCGUUUUCUUAGAAAAUUAUAUAGCUUACAGAUUCCAAUUAACAAAUUUUCAGACUUAUCAAUUUAAAACUUAUUUUUUAUUAUCAAAAUCAUUAUUAUGAAUACAAAUAAGUUAACAAUCUCCCUAUUGUUUAUGAUGACAAACAUUACAAGAUUAUGCAAUUUUGCUCCCCCUUAGUAAGUGGCCAAUCAAUUUUGUAUUCAACAUGUUUUUAUCAAAACAACAAAGAUAUAUCUCCCCCUUCAUCGUCAAAAAGAAAAAGAAAUGAAAUUUUUUUGGUAGAAUUGUUGGGGAAAAAUCAGGUUUUUAAAUUUUUAUAAAACCUUUUGAAGAUCGCUCUCAUAUAAUAUAUAAGAAUUUGUAUUCUAGAAAUCGUACCUUGAAAAUCCGAGUUGGCUUUUUCCGCUGAAGUGAUUUAGGCUCCUAGAUCACGAUCCGCCACCACCACUCCUGUUAGAUCACGAUCCGUCACCACCACGCUUGUUAGAUCACGAACUGUCACCAAUGAUCUUCUAGGUUAUGACUCAGGUUCGAUCUGCACUUGACGUGUGGGCGCCUUUAUCACUACCAAAGCAACUAGCACGAGAAAAUUUUUCUCUCAACAAUAGAGAGAAAAAUCUUAUUCUCCGAUUUGUAUAAAGUGGCUUCUUCCUUUUCCUUUUGAGAAAAUAAGCCUUAUAUAUCUUCAUUUAGUGAAAACCCUAGGCUCCAAGAAUGCCCAAAAUAAAACUCACGUUCUUUUCUUUUUCAAUAGGGGACCCACCUUGUAAAAUAACAUAAGGCCCCUUACACAUAAGCUUAUUAAAUGGAGCCUCCCACUAAAUGACAUAUUUAGGCUUUUGACCCAAAUAGCUAGUUAUCUUGCUUAUUAGUCCAGUAGUGGUGCAGUCAAUUAAAUGAGCUAACCCGGGGAUCAUUUGGGAACAUACAAUAGUGGCUACAAUAAUUAGGCCUGUAAUUAAACUAGCCCAAUUAUUUAAUUCCAAAUCUACUCCACUAAAAGAUUGGAAUUGACUUCCAUAAUUGUAUGCUCGAAUAAUAAUUCGUCCCAAGCCACAUUGAUUUCUUUACUGCACAAUCCUUUGUACCACAUCGUUAAUUAAAUUGAUAUCUCAACUGUCCAAUCAAUUUAAUAACAUCUUAUUCCUUGAUCCUUUCUGGUUUUCUCUAAUGAUCAUUUUCAACAUACUAAAUAUGUUGACACACUUUGGCCAGAGAAUUCUAUGAUCAAGUACCGAAAACCUAUCAAGAGAUGUGUUGUACAAAUUCUAUAUUGUUAAUCCAUAACUCAAAUACUCAUAAUUGCUCCCACCAAGAUACCGGGUAAUUUUGACCACAAGAAUGUGUCGUGCCCAUUGGUAACUCAAAUGAAAUAACAAUUACAAUCAUGAAAUCAUAAUUAACUCAAGAUUAAGAUUACAGUAAAAUCAAUGCCUAUGAGAUUUAAUAAGUCUGACAGUUAUUACAAAGUUAAUUAAAUCUCAUAUGUGAUCUUGUUCAAUGUAGUCGUACUACAUCAACAAAUUCAUACAUGAUUAAGACAAAUCAUUCAAUGAAUUUAUUACAGUCUAUACCUAAAUAAAGUGCCCAACUUUAUUUAUCAACUGCGAAUAUAAUUUAUUUAAUCAUAAGAUAACUUGUAUUUAUGUCUUCUGUGAAUCCACAUGGUAAUCACAUAAAUACAUAUAAUAUGAUUAAAUGGACUUUAAUACAAAUAUUAAUGCAAUUAAGAUAUUUGAAUAAAAUACCUCAUUUAUUUUAUUAAUCAGAAAAAAUGUUUAUUACAAUUAAAUAAACACAUAUGCUUUUAAAGAGCAUAUUUUCCCAACAAGAAUCUCUCCCCAUAAAAAUAAACAUAUCCUUAAACACAGAAAAUUUUCAAAACACUUCCAAAUUUUCACAAACCAAUUCAACUCCAACAACUAACUCAAAUUUUCUCAACUCCAACAAUCCAACAACACAAAACCAUGUAUAAAACCAACAUGCAUAUAACCACAAUCAUCAAGUGAAAUUAGAGAAUACUCCACAAUCCAAAUAUCAUCCAAAAUAUAAAGAUAAUAUCAUCUAAAAUAUGAGAUGAACAAUGUAUGUGCGAAACAAGGGAAAACAUAAAGACAUAGAAAGAUAAACUACAGAGGUGGUUGCGAUGAAGACUCAACAGGAGAGAAACCAAGGGCAGUGAGGAUGCAUCUCUGACCUUCACAAAGCUCUUGUUGCUAAUCUAAGAUGAACUAUAGAAAAAAUUCAAAAUGAGAUGCAAGUUGCUGCUGUUAUACUGAGAGAGUGCGAACCUCGCUAAGAAGCUGCUGCAUCAAGUCCUCAGAAGCUAAAGAAGUUGUAGGAGCUGGAGGCACAUCGAUAUCCAUAUCAUGGUCCUCCUGCUCCUUUGGCUCCUGUUGGGUAUAAAUUCAAAUGUUAUUGGUGUCAAUGUGCAAGUGUACACAACAAGUAAUAAAGUUAUGAGUAUUCAAAAUCGUCUCCAUAGGGAUUGAUGUUAUCAUAUUUGCUACAGCAACGGCUACAACAACUGCACUAUUCCAGAUUUGUUUUAAUUCUUUUGCAACUAAGUUCUUUUCCAUCUUUUGCAAGCCUAUUGCAUCAGCAUUCCUUCUUUGAAAUUUGAGCUUCCAGACACCUACAAUUAUGCACACAAUCUAAGCACGAAUUAUUCUAAAUCAAACAAAAUUUAUUAAGAGUAAACUAAAAUGAAUGUUUAUGCAAAAUAUAAGCCUAUUGCAAAACAUAGCAUUUACUUUCUAAGUAAUAUUGAUUUAAAUCUAAAAGUAAUAUGAUAACUCUCAUUUCAUAGAGUUAUCACACCCUCAACCUUAAACUAUUACUUAUCCUCAAGUAAUGACAACAACGCUAACACUUCAAUCAUACAAUCAUCCAACAAAUAACUUAGCUUUGUCAUCAAAUUUGUAAGAAUUCUUCCACCCUCAGAUCACACUCUUAAUCACGCAAAAUAGCCUUAGCAGUUUAGUUCCAGACUUAGGCUUCAUUCUGUCCAAAGUGUGUGCGUACCACUUUGAUCAAAUUCCAGAGGUGAUACAACAUUACACAGACAUAUAUAAUUCAAAGGUAGAACACACAUAUAUUCACAUAUGGGGGAGCAGAAUUCACAAAUAAACUCAAACUGUGCUACAACAAACAUAAUUAUUAUUUUUCAGUUAAACCCUUCAAUGCAACAUUGAGCUUUCAUGUGAAUGUCUAUACCUUGUAAUGACGACACCCAAUUACUCAUUCAAAAUAUAUGUUAGAGUUGGUGCAGCAACACAUCCAGGAUGUUAUAUCUAGGUCUUACCUUUAGACGCCUGACACAACUUAAAAGUAAUAUUUAACUCCCAAGUAUAAGAGUGUCUUAUUGUAUUAUAACUCGGUGAGUCCGAGGUCGAUCCACAGAGAAAAGAUUUAAUUUGUUUGUUUUAUUUUAUCUAAAAAUUGAAAUUAAAACUUGAAUAUAAACAACUUAAUUUAAAUGAAACUAUGAAAUUGAACUAGUUAGGGUUAUGGAUCCACUCUUAGAAGUAAAUAAAACUUAAUAAAUUCUUUUUGCCAAUUUUUUUUAGAUUUAUUACCCAAAAGAUUAAUUAUACAAAUUAUUAUUAUUUUCCCUUUAAUUUUAUGAUGGAUUAAGUAUUUAUUGUGCCAAAAUUUAAUUUGUCUACAAUAAGUCAAAAUACCAUUUCACCAUGCCUUAUAUUAAGAUCUUAAGAAUUUAUUGUGCCAAAUUCAUUUGUUUGUCUACAAUAAAUCAAAAUUUCAAAAUAUAAAACAUGUAUAAAAUUAAAUAGAAAAUAAUUUAAUUUAUAAAAUUAAAAAUAGAAUUUGAUUAAAUCAUAUUUAUUUCCUAAGAGUUUCACCUUCCCCUAACUAAUAUUAUUUAGUUAAGCAUAAUUAAAAUAAAAAGAAGUAGUAAAAUUGCAUUACUUAUAAUUAAAAGAAAUAAAAACAACUAAAAUUGGAAAUAAAACUAAUUUUAUUAAUGAAAAUAAUUAUACAAAAUAUUAAAAACACACCUGGAAAUCAAGAUUACAAGGAGAUGGAGAGAAUUUGAGAAGAAGAGAGUUGUAGAGAGAUGAUUAAAACAUAAAAAUGAGGCCCUAUUUAUAGAAAAAUAAAUUCAUAAUCCAGUGCUUUGCGGUCCAUCAUAGGCUUCAUGCAUGUGCUCCUCACAACCCUUAGAUCAAGAUCCAAUGGCUGGUCAAACUUUAAAAGUCAACAUCACACAUGGCAUCAUUUGACUCGUCCGAUUUACCCAAAGAACGGUUGAGAUUUGGCGGGUUAAUGGGUGGAUCGGGUCGACCUGAAUACAAAGAUUCAGAUCCUCCAACUUGCUUCACCAACCAUUGCCACGUGGCACAAUCAUGGCCAUUGAAUCAUGAACGGUUGAGAUUUGGUCAAGAUUGCCAGCUAUCCCAUGCACUCAUAUCUAUUGUAAGCUCAUUUCAUCAUCCAAUCAAUGCUCGGUCAACAGGAAAAGUCAACUUUUUUUUUUUUAUACAAGCCCAAUUUUAAGUCGAUCUUGACUGAUCUUAAGGUUUUCGGACCUCCGGAAUCCAAAUUUGACCUCCGUUUAUCUGUUUGGAGCCUCGAAGUAAGUGAAUUUAAUAUUUUUCCUAAUAAACACAUAAAAAUACACAAAAUUAAAUAUAUUUAAAACAUAAUUAAUAAUUCCUAAUAUAUUACAUAAACAAAAAUAUAAAUUAUAACAUAAGCAUAAAAUAACAUAUUAUCGCUUGAUAAUUCAACAAUUUUUAAUACUAAUCAAAGCCUUUGACUCAAGGCUCAACAUGAGGCUCAUGAACAGAACAGGUUACUCAGUAUCAUAGGCAGCGAACCUUUUUAUUUUCAUUCCUUCAUCACCAUUUUUUUUUUGCUUGCUUUUUUUUAUAUAUAUAAUUGUUGCAACACUGCUCAUAGCUCUUGUUACCCUUGGACUCAAGUUUGCAUAUGGGGUGCAUACCCAACCUUGGUUACUCAGCAACUUAAAUCAUUAGGGCAUAAUUUAUUUCAUAACAGGUACAAUCCAACAAAAAAAUUUCCCCAAACUUAAGAUAUUUUCUACUCUUUUUUUGGUUUUCCUGGCUCUGUUACAGUAUUCUCAUAAAACUCAACCAAAGUCUAAGUGUUGGGAUAAAAUUUCAACCUUCAUCUAUAACUAUCUCCACUUGACAUUCUCAUAAAUACUGAAUAACACUCAAUUUAUCUUCAUUAGGUUUUCAAAUCCAUACACAAAUAUUAGAUAACAGAGCUUCACACAACACACAACACAAGCAUAAACACAUGCAUCCAGAAACACAACCCCCCAAACUUGAGUGGUGUUGUGUCCUCACAAGCACACAAAACAAAACCACAUAAACCAGACAUGCAUACACUAAAUUAAAAGACAUGCUGAAUGAAUUAGAAAAUUAAAACUAAAUGAAAGAAAAGUUUUGCAGAAAGAUGUAAUAUAAACUAGCGAGUAGGGGGUACUCCCCUAUUGUUGGAAGCAUUGUGGCAGCACAGGCCAUAAAGGGUCACUUCUUCUUCGAUCAACUUCUCAAACGCUCCUUAUCAUCAAAUCUCAUCAAUCCAUUGUUCAUCCAAAAGCAAGAAACGCCUCUAUUGUUUGAGAAUCUUCUGUUAUAUGUCAUGCUAUAAGUGAUGCUACAUCAAUUCCCUCAUGAUAUUUUUUUUCACAUUUUUUUGUUUUUUUGUUUUUUUGUUUUUUUUUUACUUGCUGCAAUUUAACACAAAGACAAAAAAUUAGAUGCACACUUAAAAUAACAAAAAGACAAAUUAAAUAAUUUAAAAACUAAAUUCAAUGUCUUAAAAACUUGAAACAACUUCCCUUAUUGGGUUGCCUCCCAAUUAUCGCUUGAUUUUAAGUCUUUCAGUCUGACAUUUCUUGUUUGCUCAACCUGGAUCCUUCAAGAACUGAUCCUUCUGUAGACUGUUCACCUUAGCUCUCAUGUAGUGCUCUACUUUCGGCCCAUUAACCUUGAAUUCUUGUUGGUCUGGAGUGAGUUCCUUUUGUUGGAUUUGCUCGUCAAUUCUGAAGGGUUACUUCUCUCCUGACCAUGCUAUGUUAACUGCUCCAUGAUCUUCACCAUCAAGUUCUUCAAAUGUUACAGUAUUGAUUUCUUCCUUAUUACAGCAACUGUGUAAUCUCUCUGCUAUAACAAAGUCCACAACACUAAUAAAAUUACAAUCUUCAAUCUCAUCGGGACUCUUCAUGACAUCCAUCACAUUGAAUGUAACUUGCUGGUCAUUCACCCUCAUGGUUAAUUCUCCUUUUUGAACAUCAAUUAAAGUAUUUCUUGUGGCUAAGAAAGGUUUCCGUAGAAUGAUUGGCACUUCUUUGUCUGCCUCAAAGUCAAGCACAAUGAAAUUCACCGGAAAAAUAAAUUUAUCUACCUUCACCAACACAUCUUCAAUCUUCCCUUCUGGAUAUGCAUGAGAUCUGUUAGCAAGUUGUAAAGUCAUUGUUGUUGGUCUACAUUCACCAACUCUCAAUUGCUUAAACACUGAUAAAGGCAUGAGAUUGAUGCUAGCCCCCAAAUCACAAAGUGUUUUGCCACUGUAUUUAGUGCUUAUGAAGCAUGAGAUUGUAAAGCUUUCUUUAUCCUUCAUCUUCUGUGGUAUCUUACUUUGAAGCAUUUAGUUGCACUCUUAUGUUAUAGCAACUAUUUCAAACUCUCCAAGUCUUAUUUUCUUUGUCAAAAUAUCCUUUAAAAAUUUCGCAUAAUUUGGCAUUUGCUCUAGAGCUUCUACAAAAAGGAUAUUGAUAUGUAGCUGUUUCAGCACUCCUAAGAUUUUGCUGAACUGCUUAUCUUGUUUUUGCUUCUGAAACCUUUGAGGAAAGGGUGGUGGAUGUCUAAACUGUUGUGUUGUAGUAGGUUGUUCAGACUGUGCUGGAUCAUAACUUUCUGCAGAUGUUGUAGCAGAACUGUAUUGAUUUGCAUUUUGAAAAGUGGAAGAUUGUGACUCCUUCUCUACUUGAGUGUCUUCUUGCCCUUGGUUGGACUCAAUUUUUCUUUUUAGUACACCAACUGAACUAUGAACCUCUUUUCCAGAUCUCAAGUUUAUCACUUUGCAGUGUUCUUUCCCUUCUCUUCUUGAGUUCUCUAUGUUGCUGGGUAAACUGCCCUGAGGUCUGUUACUUACUGCUGUAGUAAGUUGUCCAAUUUGAUUUUCUAAGUUUCUCAAAGAUGCAGCAUGACUUUGGACAACCGCUUCAUUCUUCACAAUAUAAUCCUUAAUCGAAGCUUCAAGGGAGCUAAGUUGAUAAUUGUUUACUCUUGAUUUUGCCGAUAAAAUCCAAGUGGUUGAGCAGGUUUGUUAUGUCCACUAGGUGUUGUAGCAGUCUGGUUCUGAUAACUCCAUGAAAAAUUUAGAUGCUGUCUCCGUCCAGGGUUGUAAGUGUUUGAAUAUAGAUUGCUCUGGUUCUGUCUGUUGAAGCUGCCCAUAUAGUCAACCGAAGCUGGAUUACCAGGACAAUUGUCAAAUAAAUGCCCUUCUCCACAAUAAACGCAAGACACAUCAGAAAUUUGGUUAUCAGUUGCAAGGGCAGUAUUCAUAGCCUUUACCAUAUUUGUUAAUGAAGUUACUUGUGCUGACAAUGCUACCAAGGCAUCUACAUUAUAAACUCAUGUUGUUUCUUUUGUUGCAGCUUGUCUGGUUGAUGGCCAUUGAUAGUUAUUAUUUGUUAUUCUCUCCAAAAUUUCAUAAGCCUCAUUGUAAGACUUAGAUAAUAAGGCCCCAUUUGUUGUAGCAUCCACUAUCAAUCUAGUGCUUGGGUUGAGACCAUUAUAGAAAGUUUACAACUGUAUGAAGUAAGGAAUACCAUGAUGAAGACAUCUCUUGAGUAACUCCUUAAAUCUCUAUCAUGCAUCACACAAGCUCUCAUCUUCAAGUUAAUGGAAAGAUGUGAUCUCGUUCCUCAACUUUGCAUUCUUGGUUGGCGGGAAGUAUUUCAUUAAAAAUUUGUUAGUCAAAUUAUUCCAUGUAGUGAUAGAAUCUGGUGGUAGAGAAUUCAAUCAUGCUUUUGCUCGGUCUCUCAUAGAAAACGGGAAAAGUCCGAGUCUCAAUGUUUCCUGUGAUACUCUAGCAAUCUUGAAAGCAUCACUCACUUUAAAAAAUAACUUAAAGCGUAAAUGAGGAUCGUCGAAUGGCAAACCAUUAAAUUGCCCCACUGAUUGAAGAAUCUGAAACAUCACGGGUUUGAGUUCAAAAUUGUCAAUUUGAAUGUCGGGUCUAACUAUUCCCGGAUGUAUGGCUUGAGGAGUCAACACUCCGUACUCUCGAAUGACUCUAUCUCUAUCGUUUGCCAUGUAAAUAAUAUUGUUGUGGCUUGGUUGCCCAUGAAUAUUCUGCCCAUUCUGACCUUCUUGACCUCCUUGAGCAAUUACUGGUUGUAUUUCUCCUCGGAGGUUCAAAUUCCUCAUAUCUUGCAAAUCAUCAAUUGCUACAGCAGCUUGUAAUUCCUGAUGCUCUCUUCUCAAUCUCCUUGCGGUUCUUUCAAUUUAUUGAUCAAAUUGGAAUUCAACAAAUUUAAAUUUGCCAUACAAGGGUUGCUAGAUCACCUAUGUCAACAAAAUAAACAAAUUAAAAUAAAAUAAAAAAUUAGCACCAAUAAAACUAAUUUCACAAAUCACAAUAAACAAUCAAUUCCCGGCAACGGCGCCAAAAACUUGUUGGGUAUAAAUUCAAAUGCUAUUGGUGUCAAUGUGCAAGUGUACACAACAAAUAAUAAAGUGAUGAGUAUUCCAGAUUGUCUUCAUAGGGAUUGAUGUUAUCAUAUUUGCUACAGCAACAGUUACAGUAACUACAUUGUUCCAGAUUUGUUUCAAUUCUUUUGUAACUAAAUUCUUUUCCAUCUUUUACAAGCCUAUUGCAUCAGCAUUCCUUCCUAGAAAUUUGAGCUUCCAGACACCUACAAUUAUGCACACAAUCUAAGCACGAAUUAUUCUAAAUCAAACAAAAUUUAUUAAGAGUAAAUUAAAAUGAAUGUUUAUGCAAAAUAUAACAAAAAUUCAAUAAAAACACAUUAUUUACUCUCUAAGUAAUAUUGAUUUAAGUAUAAAAGUACCUUGAUAACUCUCAUUUCAUAGAGUUAUCAGCUCCUCAGGGUGCGCAACUGUAGUCGGACGAGGAACUCGAGGUCUAGCUCCUAAUCAAAUGUCGAGAAGUUGAUUGGUAGAAUAGAUAUCAUUCAGCGAACGAUCAUCCUCAGGGGCUAAAAGUGUAUCAUCAUUCUUAGACGAGGUAAUCUUCACCCAUUCUCUAUUGCGCCGAUGGAAACCGAUGCCGAGAAUAAUAUCACCUCCCAAUCUUUUAGUCUCGUCAUAUACACGCUCAAUAAUAGAAAUCCUAAAAUACCUCAAAAUCCUAGUGAUAAUGCUACCAUAGAGAAGAAGUUUGUUGUUCAUGGCUGGUAUAGACAACAUGUGACGAAGAAUAAUAUAUCCAAGGUUAAUUGGACACCUUCGAAGAAGACAAUCCAACAAACCAACAUCCAAGCAAGUAACCUCAUCACUAUACCAUUUCCUAGGAGUAACUAUAUGUUGGAGAAUACUAUGAAGGAUUCUGGGCAACAACUGAGACAGAAAAAGUAGUGAACAAAUAUCGUCGGAAAGAUGUUGACGUCUACAAAUGUUCCUAAUCGCAUAUACAUCAGAAAAACAAUUAAACUGGAAUUCUUUCCUAGAUGUAUAGAGUUCUAGACCUACAUAAUCAAUCCCUAAAAUGGAAUUCAAAUCAUCUACAAUAAACUCAAUAGGUACGUCUCCAAUAUAUGUUACUAGUCUAUCCAACCUAAUGGCUGAAAGCUCCAUAUUAUAGUAGAAAAUUCUAACUAAGUUUAGAUAUACUUUCUCCUCUAGGUUCAAGGCAAUCUCUCAUUGUGCUAUCAUCUCCUUCACAUUACAACUACAUAUAACCAACUCUUCAAAAUCAUUUAAAUCAACAAAGAAGAAAUUGGUUAACUUGCUCGUCAUAAACCGCGUUUGGAACCUCCUAGCGAGAGAAUAAGAAGGGAAGUGAACCCUUUCAAAAUUCGGUAUUGGAAGGGGAUGAGGAGGACUCAUGCCAGCCCACUGUUUAACAUGUUUCUUCGGUCUUGAAGGUCCUUCACUAGCCAUGGAUAAACUUGAGGUAUAGAAGAGUGUGCAUGGGCUUAACUUGAUCGAGAAAUGAAGGAAUUUGUAGUCAAUUUGGAAGAAAGAAGUUUGGUUACACUAGGGUUUCAAAAAUUGGGAAUUUUCAAUUUGAGGCUUAAAAACGAAUUGUAAUCGGAUAGAAAUGUUCUAAACUUGGUAAAGAAAGUUUCUAUUGCUUCAAUUUGAAGAGAAAUUACAAAGAAAAUGAGUAAUUUUAGAGAGAGAGAGGGGGGGAGUUUUGGUCCCGGUGAGGAGAGAAAAAAGUUCAAGGCCAAAAGAAAAUAAAGAAGAAAAUGGUUCACUGUGCUCUUAUCACGCGAUAACGAUGAGUCGUUAUUAAGAUAUCCGUGAGCUGAUAUCAUUCCAGAAUGUACCUCAAAAGUUUUAUGAAAACGGCGAGCUGUUAGUGAGAAGUCGGCGAAUCGUUAUCUUCAUAAAUAUUUUCCCUAGUUUCUGUCCCAAAAUGGUUAAUCGUUUAUUGAAUAAACGACAAUCCGUUUUCUUUAACUAAUGAUUUCGCGCAUCUAUUUUUUUUUUUUUGGUCAACAAUUAAUCCAUUUCAAGAUCAUUUUAUUGAUCCAAAAUGUCUUAAAGACCAAUUUAAUGCAUGAUUCGUGAAUUUACAAAAUUCAAACAACUAAUAAGCAAUCUCAUCACGAACAACAAAAUAGAUUUAAUAUCACAUAAAGCCAAGCUAUUGUGCAACAUUCAACAUUCCAAGCUCAUGUCUAAUUUUAGUAAACUGCUCUUCAUUAAGGGGUUUUGUGAAAAUAUCAGUGAGUUGUUUUUCGGUUGAAACAAAAUUCAAUGAAAUAUCCCUUUUUUGAACAUGAUCUCUCAAAAAAUGCGGUCUAAUCUCUAUAUGCUUGGUUCUUGAGUGUUGGAUAAGAUUCUUUGAAAGAUUUAUGACACUAGUAUUAUCACACAUAAUAGGUAUUUUUUUCAAGGUAAAUAUCAUAGUCUUUAAGUGUUUAUUUUAUCCAUAAGGCUUUUCCGACUGCAAUAUACUCAACUUCGGUAGUUGAUAGUGCCACCGAAUUUUAUUUCUUGCUAAACCAAGAGACUAGAGAGUGACCUAAAAAGUGAUCAUUAAUGCUUUUCCCAUCAACUUUAUAUCUAGCAAAAUCGGCAUCCGAAUAGCAAGUUAAGACUAUAUGUUUUCCCCUAGGAUACCAAAGGCCAAUAUCUAUAAUUCCACUCAAAUAAUGAAAAAUCCUUUUUAUCGCAAGCAAAUGAGAUUCUUUAGGACAUUUUUGAAAUCUUGCACACAAACUUACACUAAACAUAAUAUCAGGUCUACUAGCAGUCAAGUAAAGUAAUGAUCCGAUCAUACCUCGAUAAGUUUUGAUAUCAACUUCCGUGCCUUUUUCAUCAUUGUUGAGCUUGAUUGUUGAGUUCAUUGGAGUACUUUUAAUCUUUCCUUUUUCAAGUCCAAAUCUCUUGAGUAAGUCCCUUAAAUAUUUGGCUUGAUUAAUGAAGAUUCCUUCUUCAGUUUGUUUUAAGGGAGGAAUCUAUUGUGAAAAAGGGGGAUUGGAAAAGAAAGAAACCCUAGAUCUAAAUUUUUCUCUUCUCUCUAUGAGGAAUUAAACCUAUUAUUCUAGUUGAAGGUUAAUGAAGCUUUGAUUCAUCACUACUGUGAGAUAUUUCUUAUGCUUUAAUUGUUUUAUUACUUUUUGGGUAUUUGUUUAUUCUCUGAAUUAUUUUCAUGAUUAUGUUUGUUAAUUACGUAAUUGGCCACUAUUUAAUUAUCAACUUAAUCUAUUGUCAAUUAAAGGAUUCAUCAUAUGAAGAUUUUAAUGUUUGUGACAAAUAACAUAGCAGUGAGUUGUGUUAUGAGAAUAAACAAUCUAAUUUAAAUUAACCAUCGUAUGCGUUUGUUGAUUAGGAUUUGAGUCUCUCUGGUUUUUCAGGCUGUCAAUUGAUUAAAUCCUAUGAUCGUAUCUAGGGUUGUCUAUUGAUUAGGGAAAUAACCAACGGUCGUACCUUGGUUAUCUACUAGUUAAGGAGAGAUUGGCUAUUAGAGGGUCUCAGUAGCUAUAACCGGUCUAUUCAUAAGUAGUAAUAAUUUAUAUUUGAAUCAAUGAUCAGUAGUCGAAUCAAGCUGAGUUAAUUCCUUCAACCAGAUCUUUCUCCAAUUUGAAUUACAGCUUUAAUUUGCAUUCUAGUUAUUUUAAUUUGAUUUCUAUUAUUGUCAACAAUUCCCCCAUUUUACGUUUUACAUUUUAAAAGGAUUUAAAUAAUUACCGAUCUCUGUGGACACGACUCUGCUCAAUCACUAUACACAAUUAAUUUAGAGUAGGUAUUUAUUUUUGCUAGCUUCGACAACCAUCAAAUUGUAAUUUUAUUAACAAUAUAUGGACAAAAUAGAUAAUUAACAAUUAUUUUUUAUAUACUAGAAGGGUACAACGGUAAUUAUAUAUUAAACGUACUAUUUUCAUUAAAAAUAAUUGUUUCUGUUAGUGAAUGGGGGUGUAAAUGUCUUUUUUAAAACGUUAAGGGAGUUUUUGUCUCUUUAUCUAAACGUUGAGGGUUUGUUUGUCCUUUUUCCAAAAAUUUAUAAUUAUUGCUAUAUAGGAUUGUUUUAACCAAUUGUUAGAAUUCUCAACAUAGAGAAUUAUCAUACUUCUCCAUAAAGAGUAUAUUACUUAAAAUCAAUCGUUGUUAAGUACUGAAGAAUGUAUGUUUAUACAUGAUAAAAUUGUCAUUUUAUUCUCCAAGUCCACUAACAUUUUCAAUUUUACAUGUUUAAAUUCUCUAAGCUUUCAUUAUGUGUGUUUUAUUAUAAUUUAAAUAUUUUAUGUAUUUUAGGGAUAUUUUGGCUAUUUCACAACUAAUAAGAAGUCAGACGACAAAAUGAAUGGCAUUUUUGAACUGGAAAUGUUCGAAAACCUUAAGAGAAACAUAAAAAGAUAUGUGACAUUGUUUACGUUUACAGUAAUGUUCACAUAUACGGUACUAUUCAUCAGUACGACACUGUUCACAUAUAUAAUACAAUGACGUGGCAUUGACCGAUGAUGUGGCAAUAUUCUAUUGGACCAAUAAUGUGGCAUUUACUGAUUAUGUGGCGUUGACUAGUUAUGCGACGUUGACCGAUGAUGUUUCAGGAUGGUAUUGGACCAAAAUACUGAUGUGGCAUUAACCGUGACGUGGCAGUAUUUUAUUGGACCAAAAUGUUAAUGUAGUGUUAACGGAUGAUGUGUUCCAACCAAUCAAAGUUUGGCGCGUAGCGCAAUAUUGAGCGUCCAAAUUGUUUUCAUCUAAUAACCAUGAUUUAUCCAUUGUAUCUAUAAAUAGAGGGCUUCUCCCCCACUUUGACACCCCUGAAUCCAUUUUUGAGCUCUAUUUUUUGUAAUUCUCUCUCCACCUUAUAUUUUCUACGUAUUUUAAUAAAAUUAUCAUCUUAUCCAUAGUUCAAUUAUGAGUGGCUACUUUAGUUUAAAGCUUGGGUUGAAGGUAAAGUCUCAACAUGAUCCAUGGGUUUAAUUAAGUAAGUUUAUUUUGUUUUCCUAUCUGAUUUAUGUGGUUGUUUUGACUCAUUGUCGAUAGACAAUACUGAGCGUCCGAAUUAUCAUCUCUGUUUUGUUUUCCUAAACCCUAUAUUUUCUGUAAUUAUCUCUCCACCUUAUAUUUUCUACGUAUUUUAAUAAAUUAUCAUCUUACCCAUAGUUCAAUUAUGAGUGGCUACUUUAGUUUCAAGAUUGGGUUGAAGGUAAAGGCUCAACAUGAUCCAUGGGCUUAAUUAGGUAAGUUUACUUUGUUUUCCUAUUUGAUUUAUGUGGUUGUUUUGACUCAUUGUCGACAGACAGUGUGUCUUGUCUCGAUUUUGCACGAUAUACCAACUCCUUAAUAAAUGAUCAUUACCGUCUGGUAUAAUGAGCACUUAACACCAUAUUAAUUAGAGAGAUAAUUCCCCUCUAGUAUUUUGUGGGUUGUCUUAACUCAGUGUCGAUAAAGAGUGUAUCUAAACUAUUUAGUGGAUGAUCUUGUCAUGUUGUCGAUAGAAUGAUUAUUAUCGUUUGACACAACGUGUUCUUUACACCACACUUAGUGUAAGAUCAUUACUUUUAGUACACUGAACUCUUGAUACUAUUAGAGUGAGGAUUAUGAGGAGUGGAAAUGUCCCCUCAUGAAUUAAUUGGAACUAAAAAAUAAAUAUUAAGCUCAUGGUGAAUGGUGAAUGUGAAUCUAGAGACUUAAGCGUUUUCAUUUGCAUUGAUUUCAUCUUUAAUUUAUUCUCACCUUUUUAUUUUGAAUCCUAAGAUAAAAAAAAAAAAUUCACUUCUAACCAACUCACAUUUACACCUCGAAAAUUAACCAUACAAAUAAUUAAAUCAACCUUCUUGUGUGAUCGAUACUCAUCACCAUAAAAUCUAUUCUACAAUAGAUUCAUACGUUUGCGAGUAUAAUAAAAUUUGCACAAUAAUUAUCAAUUUCACGAAUUUUACAUCGGCACUCGUCGAAAUAUCCCACUAAAAUUUAUGGUGCAACUAUCAUGUUGGCUUUUUUAAAAGUUCAUCAGCCAUCGACAUAAAUUCCACCACACACCUUACAUUAACGCCAACCAUGCCUUGUGUGCAAAUUUUGUGGCCCUCGCUAAUAGUAACAUGUUUUCUUUUAUAAUAGCAUGGAGAUCUACAUGCCAAAGAACUAACCCAGUCUUUUUAAAAAGAAGCUGACCAUUUGUUAGAAUAUUAAUAUCUCCUUUUUUUUUAUUUUGGAGCAAUUUGCCAAGCCCACUCCACCUUCUUGAUAAUUUCCCUAAGGUGCCAAAAUUAUCCACACCUUCAAAUCCUUAUGCAUACCAAAUUGGAAACACAUUUGACUUGAAUUCUUCAAAAGCCAAAAAAUCAACAACAUCAAACCCCAUCGAGUUUGAAAAAUACCAUGUUCUGACAUAUAUGAUUCACUUAUUAGUCUUUGUUAUUCACCACAUACUAUUUGGAUUGACUCUCAUUGCUUCACGUGAACAGUACCAUAUACGUGAACAAUAUUCCGACACCAAAACUUCAACCAAUGACUCUAAUACCACUGCUAGGAAAUUGAGAUUUCUCCCCUCAUCACUCCAAGUAAUGUCGAGUAACAAAUUAAUAGAAAAAUUAAAUGGAGAAUACAUCAAUCACACAACACAAAAUUUACAUGAAAAAACUCCAAAUUCAGAAAAAAAAAAUCAUGAUCAUUAUCAAACAACAAUAAAAAAAAUAUUCACUGUGUGAUAAAUUAUUACAACCACAUUCUCAUAAAUAAUUUUCUUUCACCCAAUCCCUAAAUAUAUGAUCCUAACAAAUAUUCUUUAAUAAAAUAAAUUCAUAAUACUCAUAUUAAAGAGUCAAAUACUCCUAUAAUAUAACUAUAUACUUAAAAAUAUUUCUCUUUAUUUUAAAAGACCAAAUACUUCUCUCACUUCUCAAAUUUUAGGAUUGAAUCAAACUAUAAAUGAGAGCUUCAAUUUAUAAGUAAAAAUUUGCCUAAAAUCAAGCCAAGUGGGUAAGACGUUUUCAAACAUUUCAGCCACCUUUUAACAAUCAAACGAGGCAGCUUCUCGAAGUCAAGACAUGCGGCUCCCAGUCAAUAUUUUUGGCCAAAGAAAUCGUUGGCUGCCUUUUUAAAUCAAACUUUCAACAGAUCAACGCGCUAAGGAGAUUGAAAGUAAAGAGAUUGAGUUAGUUCUGGUGGAAAAAAAGAUUGAUAUUGUAAUGGUGAGCUGGCGUGUAGAAAAAAUAAUGGGUUUGGGUCAAAAGAGGAUUGGAGAAUUUAAUUGUGAGCUUGAAUUGAAGGAGAAUGAACUGAAUUCGUUGUCGGUGAGUCUUAAUUUAAAGAAUAAACCGAGCUCGGUUCAAGAAUGGAUUAAUAAAUGUCAGGCGUGUCAGAAGGAGUUGCGAUUGUGGAAGAAUUUGAUUGAAGAAUGUUAUGAUGAAGUUGAGUUGAGAGAAAAGAAAGUGGGGGAAGCUCAAAGAUCAAUUGAGGAACAGGAGAAACAGCUAGCAUUUAAGGAGAGCAAAAUUUCUUCGAUGCAGACAUUGAUUGAAGAAAAUGAAGGACUACUUAAAGAUAAGGAGAAGUUGUAUGACGAGGUUAAAAAUUCUCUCAUGCUGUGUGAGACAAAGCUCGAGUGUGAAAAGAAAGAAUUGGAGCUGACUCAAUCGUCUAUUAAAGAGCUCUCGAUGGAGUUUCAUUCAGAAGAGGAGAAAUUAGAGUUACUCCAGGGGAAAGUCAGACUGCACGAAAAUGAAGUUGAAUCUUUAGAGCAGAAGCUUGACUCAAUGAGAAAGCAACAGAAGAAAUAUUUUGAUGAUGUUGAAUUGAAAAAGAGGGAGCUCAACGAAAUAAGAAAAUACAUUGAAGAACUCAAUCAAGAUCCCGCAUCAAAGGAUAAGGAGUUAAGAUUUGUCCAACAAUCUAUUGAAGAAUGCAGCAAGGAGAUCCCGGGGAAAAAGGAGGAGUUAAUUUCAAAAGGAAAAACAAUUGCGGAAUGCUCAAAGGAGGUUGAAUUAAAAAAGAACCAACUUAAUUUGAUACAGGACAAGUCAAGUUUGUUCCAGACAAGGACGAUUGUGUACCUGAAAGAGCUUAAAGAGAAGGAGACGCAUUUUGAUUCACUCAAAAAAGGUUUAGAAGACCGCUUGCAAGAUCUUGAAUUAAAAGAGAGAGAAUUUGAGAAACGAGUAAAGGAGUUUGAGUUAAGAGAGAAAGAGUUGGAUUCUAUCCGAAAAGCAGUGGAAGAUCGCAGUAAAAAUCUGUUGCUGCAAGUAAAAAUUAAGGACCCUGAAAAUUUGACCAGCAGCGGAAGAUAUCUGCAGUUCCUACUGAAUCAGCAUUUGCAGAAGCAUGAUUCCAUUUUUUGUAAAGUUUUCGACACUAUUAAAAGCGCCCGUGACCCUGCAUUGUUGGUGUUACAUGCCAUGUCAGGAUUUUACCCUCCUCAUUCAAGGGAGGGAGAUUUGGAGUUUGAUGUGAGCAUUGUUAGGAGGAGUUGUAUUCUUUUGUUGGAACAGUUAUCAACUGUAGAACCAGAGAUUAAUGCUCAAGUACGAGAUGAGGCUAUGAAGGUGGCAGGUGAGUGGAAGAAGAAGAUGAGAGUAGCAGUGGAGAAUUCUCUGGAGGUGCUGGGAUUCUUGCAUCUUUUAGCUGCCUAUAGAUUGGCACCUGCUUUUGAUCGUGAAGAACUUGAAAGUCUUCUUUGUAUCGUUGCUCAGCACAGACAGACUCCUAAAUUACGCCGAACCCUUGGAUUUGCGGAUAAAGUACCUGGUAGGCUCUUUGUUACUGGGAUUUAAAUUUAUCAGGUGCUAUCUGUGCUCUCAAUUGCAUAAUAAAACUGAUUUUAUAUGUUAUGAGUCCUAUUUGCAUUUUGUUGGAUAUGUUAUAUAUUACUAUAGUUGAUUUCGGUAUAAAUCAUUUAUAAGAACUUGUGGAUGCAAUUCCAUUUUGCUGCUAUGCCCUCUAGUAAGUUUUUCUGAUUGUGAAGUUCGUAAAUUCUGCAUACUUUCUAAAGUCUUUACUAGGCUAUCGGGUUUCUAUAUUUUGAAUUAGAAAGGUUGAGUAAUCAGAACAAUUUUUCAGUCAACCAUGCACUUGAUUCUUUGUCUG
rnacentral:lncRNA from 1 species